UACGUAGGGACCAAGCGUUGUUCGGAUUUACUGGGCGUAAAGGGCGCGUAGGCGGCGUGUUAAGUCACUUGUGAAAUCUCUGAGCUUAACUCAGAACGGUCAAGUGAUACUGAUGUGCUAGAGUGCAGAAGGGGGCAACCGGAAUUCUUGGUGUAGCGGUGAAAUGCGUAGAUAUCAAGAGGAACACCUGAGGUGAAGACGGGUUGCUGGGCUGACACUGACGCUGAGGCGCGAAAGCGUGGGGAGCGAUCCGG
rnacentral:rRNA from 1 species